rnacentral:rRNA from 1 species
GACGAACGCUGGCGGCGUGCCUAAUACAUGCAAGUCGAGCGCUGAAGGUUGGUACUUGUACCAACUGGAUGAGCAGCGCACGGGUGAGUAACGCGUGGGGAAUCUGCCUUUGAGCGGGGGACAACAUUUGGAAACGAAUGCUAAUACCGCAUAAAAACUUUAAACACAAGUUUUAAGUUUGAAAGAUGCAAUUGCAUCACUCAAAGACGAUCUCGCGGUGUCUUAGCUAGUUGGUGAGGUAAAGGCGCAACAAGGCGAGGUUACAUAGCCGACCUGAGAGGGUGGUCGGCCACAUUGGGACGGUGACACGGCCCAACCGCCCACGGGAGGCAGCAGGAGGGAAUCUUCGGGAAUGGGCGGAAGUCUGACCGAGCAAGGCCGCGGUAGUGAAGAAGGGUUUCGGAUCGUAAAACUCUGUUUGUAGAGAAGAAAGUUGGUGAGAGUGGAAAGCUCAUCAAGUGACGGUAACUACUCAGAAAGGGACGGCUAACUACGUG